CGGGGGAAAGCCUGAACCAGCCAUGCCGCGUGAGGAUGAAGGCCUUCGGGU
rnacentral:rRNA from 1 species